GAUGUUUGAAAAUUAAAAUUACGCUUAGCCACACAUGUUCUUGGUGCAUUUGUUAGUCCUCUCCAUCAAGUGUAGCACUUUAACAAUAUUUAUUUCAGGUUCUAGGAUUUUCCUUCAUACUGUGAAUAGUUCAAUAAUUUUUUCUUCAAUAAUUUUUUAUUCAAAAAAUGAAUACCUUAAAUAAUUUAAUUUUGAGUUCUCAACCUGUCAAGAAAAGAGGAAAAGUAACGAGGAAGAAAAUCUAUUGAAGCUUAAUUUCUUGUAGAAACCUCUUCAGUUCUUCAUUUUGUUUUCUCCAGUCAUCCUCUCUGAUUUCCCCCCUGCCUCUAACGAAUAGAUAAUCUAACAAACUUGGAAGAAAUUAUUUAUUUACAUUUUUUUCUAAACUUGAGCAGGAAUAAAAGAAAGAAGAUAGAAAAACGGAAGGCAGGAUCAUCGACAGAGCGAGAACUUGACACCUCCUCGUCUAAAAGUAAAUGCAGUAAAUCUGGAGAGAAUUCUCUAGCAAACGCCAUUUGCAUUGAAAAUGAUCGGGGGGAUGAGACAAAUGAAACAAAUGUCUCAUCAAACGACCAUCCGGAUGGAGCAAAGCAUACAGUCGAUCCACUGACAGAAACAUCGACGAGUGACAUUGAACCUAACAACUAGACCCACCAGAAUGUAAUCCCAAUCUUCUAUGGAAUCAAAUUUAUCUUGGAUCUGGAAUUUUGGAGCAGUGUAGGAAAAAAACUGAAGAUUGCCUACAGCUGAGAAUGCAUCCCGGAUUACCGUUCCUACCCUUUCGCUAAGAAAAACACUUUGAGUAAUCUAGUUUGCUUGUCGGAUUUUCGUUUGCUACUACUGUAGCUUAAUAUUGUGUGAUCAUACCCGACGCAAAACACCUGAGGGCAUUUCUUGUUUCCCUUGUUCCUUUAUUUGGAAGGCUGGCUUUUAAAUUUUUUUUAUAUGAAUUAAUAUUAUGGUAAUUACUAAUUAUGUACUUUUUA